rnacentral:lncRNA from 1 species
UCCUCAACGGAAACAACCUAUCAUUUGGCAACCUCAAAGAUAGAGUAACUAUAAGAGCAAAAAUUAAAGCAACACACAACAAUAGAACAAAAGUAAAAAAGAGACAGUUAGACAAAGAGAGAAAUAAUAGAAUUCCAUGCGGUAUUUGUAGUGGCAAAUAAAAUUACAGGAAACGAUGCACUAAAUAAUCACAAAUUCAUUACAUUGCAUGAAAAGGCACAAAAAACCAUAAUCAGCUUACAAAUCAUACACUUGUUUGCCAGUGAACUUGACCUCAAUUGGGCUCUUGUUCUUACCAAUGGAUCUGAAGUUCUGUCCAACUCCUUGACGGCCAGCGUUCACCUUUUCUGGGUACACACCAUCCUUAGGGUGCAAGUAUUGAACCUCACCAUUAGGAAACACCCUGUAAAACCUGUAGUUAAUCUUGUACUUUGACCUAAGCCUAGUACCAAGUGCUAAACACUGCUCUUUCCUCGCCAAUUUCAGCAAAUUAGCACCUUCCCUCAUAAUAGCUGCACCACCAGUUGGCAUCUCAAAGAUCUGUUCUUUAGGUGAUUCCCAAGUAAUUACGUAAAACUCCUCAACUUGGGCCU